rnacentral:rRNA from 1 species
UACGAAGGGUGCUAGCGUUGUUCGGAAUCACUGGGCGUAAAGCGCACGCAGGCGGAUCGAUAAGUCGGGGGUGAAAGCCCGGGGCUCAACCUCGGAAUUGCCUUCGAUACUGUCGGUCUCGAGUCCGGGAGAGGUGAGUGGAAUUCCUAGUGUAGAGGUGAAAUUCGUAGAUAUUAGGAAGAACACCAGUGGCGAAGGCGGCUCACUGGCCCGGUACUGACGCUGAGGUACGAAAGCUAGGGGAGCGAAUGGG